rnacentral:rRNA from 1 species
AUUGAACGCUGGCGGAAUGCUUUACACAUGCAAGUCGAACGGCAGCACGGACUUCGGUCUGGUGGCGAGUGGCGAACGGGUGAGUAAUACAUCGGAACGUGCCCAGUCGUGGGGGAUAACGUAGCGAAAGCUACGCUAAUACCACAUACGAUUUAAGGAUGAAAGCGGGGGACCGUAAGGCAUCGCGCGAUUGGAGCGGCCGAUGGCAGAUUAGGUAGUUGGUGUGGUAAAGGCUCACCAAGCCGACGAUCUGUAGCUGGUCUGAGAGGACGACCAGCCACACUGGGACUGAGACACGGCCCAGACCCCUACGGGAGGCAGCAGUGGGGAAUUUUGGACAGUGGGCGCAAGCCUGAUCCAGCCAUUCCGCGUGCAGGAUGAAGGCCCUCGGGUUGUAAACUGCUUUUGUACGGAACGAAAAGGCUCUGGUUAAUACCUGGGGCUCAUGACGGUACCGUAAGAAUAAGCACCGGCUAACUACGUGCCAGCAGCCGCCGUAA